AUUGAACGCUGGCGGAAUGCUUUACACAUGCAAGUCGAACGGUAGAGGGGGCAACCCCUCGAGAGUGGCGAACGGGUGAGUAAUAUAUCGGAACGUGCCCAGUCGUGGGGGAUAACGUAGCGAAAGUUACGCUAAUACCGCAUACGAUCUAAGGAUGAAAGCGGGGGAUCGCAAGACCUCGCGUGAUUGGAGCGGCCGAUAUCAGAUUAGGUAGUUGGUGGGGUAAAGGCUCACCAAGACAACGAGCUGUAGCUGGUCUGAGAGGACGACCAGCCACACUGGAACUGAGACACGGUCCAGACUCCUACGGGAGGCAGCAGUGGGGAAUUUUGGACAAUGGACGCAAGUCUGAUCCAGCCAUUCCGCGUGCAGGAUGAAGGCCCUCGGGUUGUAAACUGCUUUUGUACGGAACGAAAAGGUCUCUCUUAAUACGGGGGACUCAUGACGGUACCGUAAGAAUAAGCACCGGCUAACUACGUGCCAGCAGCAGCCGCAGUAA
rnacentral:rRNA from 1 species